UGAGUAUGAGAUUAGGCACAAUGAACUUCCUUGGACAUCCCCUAAACCAUGUGCCUACAUGGGUUGCUUACUAGUUCUACCUUUGGCAAGUAGAACAACCUCCACGGAGUAGGAUAGACUCCGGAUUCCAUGCCUAGCUAGUAUGGUCUAUGUCGGUUAUGCCUAUUCCCAUCAUGUGGGAUGUGCACUCUAGUUAUUGGAUAGGUUCUACAACGUGUAGGUAGUAGUAUGGGAUGCUAUCUACACAUGGCACGAGUAGGCUUUGAAGAUACUAAAGUGAGUUCCCUAAGUCUAACGACUAUUAUGUGAAAGUCCCCUUAUGUGCUUGAAUGUCUCCAAAAUGGUUUCUUAAAGAAUGUUGGCCUAUUGAUGUUAUGUUGUAAAGGAAAUGUCCUUAUCUAAGGUAAUCUUGGGGAACACUUAAGUGUGCUUGAAGAGAUUGUAUGGGCGGUCACUUCAUGUUUCACUUAAGUGUGGCUUUGGGUAACUUGAGAUAGAGGUCAAGAAAUGAUGAAAAGGUUUACUUGUAUUUUUUUUUAUGAAGUUUUACCAAAUGGCAUAAAAGCGUGUUUCUCCAAUGAACGUCCUUUUUAGCAUGUUUUUGCAUGGCUUCCAUACUUUGUACUUAAUUGUGCUAACCCCUUUCUUUUCUUUUUUAACUAAAGUGUAGGGAUUUGGAGAUGAUGAUAUGUCAUGGCUAUUUGAUAGGUUUCUAAGUGUUGAAGAUGAAGACUUGGUGAGUCCUCAUAGAUUCGAGGACAAUACCCAAUAUGUUCUUUUAUGUCUUUUUAAGUAUUGUUUAAGUUGUGUAUGGGAUUGGUCCCGAAUUUGUACUCUAAAGUAUUAGAUGGUUAUGAGACAUCAUGUAUAAAAGUCUAGAAAGUCUUCCGCUUGCUAUUUAUUUUAUGCAAUGUUUUCUUGGUAAAGAAAGUUUUAAAUUCCUCAUGGUUUUAGUGUCUAUGCGAUGAACGAAUGCUAAGAUGCUUGUAUUAGACCUCUUCGAGGUCGAGUACGCCGGGUACGACUAGGGGGGUGCUCCCGGGUCGUGACAAACUUGGUAUCAGGGCAUAAGUUUCUAGGAUGGUCUUAGGUGGUCUCAAAACCACAUCUAGUAGAGUGUUGUUUAUAAUGUGAAGCGCGCCACAUUAUGAAUAGGAGGCUAUUGGGUGUUAAGAAAGUUUCACUUAUUCAUUCUUUUAGUCGUGCCAUGGAGUUUCUCCCUAUAAUGUCUUCCCUUAUUCCUUAUGUGAUGGUUAUUUGGGUGUAACCUUUGAGGAAGUUUUAAUGUUGCAAGGGUUGAGGGAGAGAGAAUGUUGGUUGUGAUGCCAACUAUGACUUGGUGACUUAGUAGGUGUGAGGUGAAAGAUUAUGGUGAUGACUUUAGGAUGAAUGGGAUUCCUUUGGUUAUGCGUGUUGUUGGUAGUAUCCGGCUUAGUCAUAAGGAAGUCUUGUGAUGUGUUGAAGGAAUUUGAGAAAUGUGUGGUGAUUUAGAAAUGCUAGGUGUAAUGAGUAUAAAAGCCUAGUGUUGUUUUGAUCCGACCUUAGGAUGGAAGGUGGUGAAUUUGAAAGAACUAGUAAGAGUUUCUCCUAAGUGGGGGAAAUAUGUGGUUAGAUGAUAAGGUCUUUAAGUGUGGUUGAUGUUUAUGAGUUAGGCUUGAAGGAUGUUUUCAUUACAAGAGGUUUAGUGAAUUAAAGAGUUGGAUAAAAAUGGUUUUGGUAAGAUUGAUGGUAUGUUGAGUAGUGAAGUUGUUGAGAAGUGCUGAUAUCUUUACCUACUUUUAGAUGUGCUUACUCAAGCUUAAAACAAAGAAUUCCUAGAAGCUUGUGUUAUGUUUUGGAGUCUUAUGUGAAAAAGAGUUUUCCAUGGUUUCCUUAUGUCAUGCAUGUUUUAUAUGAAUUCUUGUUAAAUGAGAAAAUGAGUUUUCAUAAAUUUAUGUUCCUCAUGUUGAUGUGCAUCUAUAAUGAUUUGCCUAAAUGUUGCAUGAGUUAAAUUAUGAGCAUGUUUAAAAGUGUUUUGAUGAUGUUGCCUAAAGUGCUUCUAUGAGAAAGUUGCAUAAUGUUCAAUUAACAUAAGUUGUCUAUUUGCUUUAUGAGCUGAUAAUGUGAGCAUGCUUACUUGAGUUUUGGAGAAGGUUGCAUGAUGUGCUUUAAUGAGAAAAUUGCAUAUUGUGUCCUUUGAUGUUAUGAUGAGCAUGAGAUGAUUUGGAGAAGGAAGUACCUCCAAUGAAAUGAAAUGAAAUGAGAAAUGAGAAAUGAGAAAAGGUAAAGAUGAUGCAUAAGGAGUUAGUAGAUGUUGUGCCUACUUUCUUGAAUUGCAUGAAGUUGUGUGGGACUUUCUAUGUGGAGUUGAUGUUUCCUCCUAUAUUUAUGCAUUUGUAUUGAUGUUAUGUUGUAAAUGAAAUGUCCUUAUCAAAGGUAAUCUUGGGGAACACUUAAGUGUGCUUGAAGAGGUUGUAUGGGCGGUCACUUCUUGUCUCACUCAAGUGUGUCUUAAGGUUAUAUUAGGUAGAGGUCCUAUGGUAAUGAAAUGACAUGUGUUCUUUUAAAGUUAAGCAUGGAUUGUAUAUGGACAUAUGUUGAGUAUAUGUAUGGUUGGCUAUGGUCUUAUAUGUUAAUGUUGACUUGUAUUAUGUCUCUUAUACUUGUAAAGGAAAGGUUUUAUCAAAUUGAUAUGAAAGCAUUUAUUCUUUGAAAAUGUCCUUUUUAGCAUGUUUGUGCAUGGUAUGAAGUGGGUUUUAUGAUAAUGCUUGGGUAUUGAUGGAAUUGUACUUAGAUUGAAUUGUAUUAUUGAUUCCUAUUGUUAUCUAUAUCUAUUGUUGGUGGAUUGUUGGUGUAUGGAUGAGUUGAGAAUUAUGGCCUUGUAGGCAAGUCAUGGGUAAAUUCUCUUGUGAUGUUAGAAUUGUUGAGAAUUGGAUAAUGGUGAUUAUGGCUUUGGAGAAUGGUAAGUUGACCUACUUUCAUGCUAUAUUGAAAUUGUUCUUGUUUGGAUUGAUCCACUUAUGGUGGAGGUGUGUACUUAUUGAAUGUGUAUUGAUUAUGGCCUUGAAGGCAUUAUAUGAGUGUUAUUGUAUUGUUAUAUUAUUAUAUAUGAAUGAGGCUAUAUGUAAAGUCCUAUAUGAAGCUAUAUGUGAAGGUAUGAUGUGAAUAAGUUUUAUGUGAAGCUAUAUGUGAAGGAAUGAUGUGAAUGAGUUUUAUGUGAAGCUAUAUGUGAAGGAAUGAUGUGAAUGAGUUUUAUGUGAAGCUAUAUGUGAAGGAAUGAUGUGAAUGAGUUUUAUGUGAAGCUAUAUGUGAAGGAAUGAUGUGAAUGAGUUUUAUGUGAAGCUAUAUGUGAAGGAAUGAUGUGAAUGAGUUUUAUGUGAAGCUAUAUGUGAAGGAAUGAUGUGAAUGAGUUUUAUGUGAAGCUAUAUGUGAAGGAAUGAUGUGAAUGAGUUUUAUGUGAAGCUAUAUGUGAAGGAAUGAUGUGAAUGAGUUUUAUGUGAAGCUAUAUGUGAAGGAAUGAUGUGAAUGAGUUUUAUGUGAAGCUAUAUGUGAAGGAAUGAUGUGAAUGAGUUUUAUGUGAAGCUAUAUGUGAAGGAAUGAUGUGAAUGAGUUUUAUGUGAAGCUAUAUGUGAAGGAAUGAUGUGAAUGAGUUUUAUGUGAAGCUAUAUGUGAAGGAAUGAUGUGAAUGAGUUUUAUGUGAAGCUAUAUGUGAAGGAAUGAUGUGAAUGAGUUUUAUGUGAAGCUAUAUGUGAAGGAAUGAUGUGAAUGAGUUUUAUGUGAAGCUAUAUGUGAAGGAAUGAUGUGAAUGAGUUUUAUGUGAAGCUAUAUGUGAAGGAAUGAUGUGAAUGAGUUUUAUGUGAAGCUAUAUGUGAAGGAAUGAUGUGAAUGAGUUUUAUGUGAAGCUAUAUGUGAAGGAAUGAUGUGAAUGAGUUUUAUGUGAAGCUAUAUGUGAAGGUAUGAUGUGAAUGAGUUUAUGUGAUCUUGUGAUGAUCCUAUGUAAAGUGGAUAGCAUUGUGAGUUAAAGUAUGAUUUCUCAUGAUGUAUAUAUGAAAUGAUGUUGGAUUAUGAAGUAUCCUUAAAUGAAAAUGUUGUGACUUGGUUGGUAGACUAAAGUGUCCCUCCUUGUUACUUAAAGUCUUGAAUGCAUGAAUGUGUGAAAUGGGCAAAACUAAGAAAUGGUGCCCUUUCAUAAGUCUAGCUUUCCUAAGUAAAUGUAAAACCAUGAAAUCGGUAGACCUAAUGGUGGUAGCCCUUCUCAUGUGUGAAAUGAUGAACCUUGGACCGGUAGGCUUAAGGCACCCUUUAAUGAAGAAUCGGUAGGCCUAAGGCACCCUUCCAGGGGGAUUUAAUGAGCUAUCCUUAUGAACCUUGAUUGGCCAUGACUAAGAAAUGGGGCCUUUCUUGGGAAGAGGUACUAUGAGUUGGUUGAACUAGAAAAGGAACCUUCUCUAAGUACAUAUGUGAUUGAAUACUCUAUGGGAAACAAGGCUAGCACCGAGUGGAUGUGGUUAGGAAGGUGGCCUAGUUGAGUAUGAGAUUAGGCACAAUGAACUUCCUUGGACAUCCCCUAAACCAUGUGCCUACAUGGGUUGCUUACUAGUUCUACCUUUGGCAAGUAGAACAACCUCCACGGAGUAGGAUAGACUCCGGAUUCCAUACCUAGCUAGUAUGGUCUAUGUCGGUUAUGCCUAUUCCCAUCAUGUGGGAUGUGCACUCUAGUUAUUGGAUAGGUUCUACAACGUGUAGGUAGUAGUAUGGGAUGCUAUCUACACAUGGCACGAGUAGGCUUUGAAGAUACUAAAGUGAGUUCCCUAAGUCUAACGACUAUUAUGUGAAAGUCCCCUUAUGUGCUUGAAUGUCUCCAAAAAUGGUUUCUUAAAGAAUGUUGGUCUAUUGAUGUUAUGUUGUAAAGGAAAUGUCCUUAUCUAAGGUAAUCUUGAGGAACACUUAAGUGUGCUUGAAGAGGUUGUAUGGGCGGUCCCUUCUUGUCUCACUCAAG
rnacentral:lncRNA from 1 species